rnacentral:misc_RNA from 1 species
GAAAUGCGAUACGUCAUGUGAAUUGCAGAAUUCUGUGAAUCAUCGAAUCUUUGAACGCAAAUUGUACUUUUGGGACAUCCCAAAAGUGCAUCUGUUUGAGCGUAGACAAUAAACACUCACAUUAAAUUAUAUUAUGUGAAGUUGGUUUUUCAAUUUUCAAAAUUGAUUUACCUAAGAAUAUGAAGGUAUUUUGAUCACUAUCAAAAGUGUCAAGUAAUUACCUCCAAGAGUGUUAAGUAUUUAUAUACGAAUCUUUUGGAAUAUUACCUAUUGGUACUUUGUGAUUAGAUCCUUGUUCUUUAAUACAAUUUCAAAAUCUCUACCUCAAAUCAGAUGAGGCUACCCGCUGAAUUUAA